rnacentral:rRNA from 1 species
AUUGAACGCUGGCGGCAGGCCUAACACAUGCAAGUCGAACGAGUGGCGGACGGGUGAGUAAUGUCUGGGAAACUGCCCGAUGGAGGGGGAUAACUACUGGAAACGGUAGCUAAUACCGCAUACCAUCGGAUGUGCCCAGAUGGGAUUAGCUAGUAGGUGGGGUAACGGCUCACCUAGGCGACGAUCCCUAGCUGGUCUGAGAGGAUGACCAGCCAAACUGGAACUGAGACGCGGUGCAGACUCGUAGGGGAGGCAGCGGUGGGGGAUGUUGCAAAAUGGGCGCAGGCCUGGUGCAGCCAUGCCGCGUGUAUGAAGAGGGUCUUCGGGUUGUAAAGUACUUUCAGCGAGGAGGCGGUACUCGCAGAAGAAGCACCGGCUAACUCCGUGCCAGCGCCGCGGUAAUUC